rnacentral:rRNA from 1 species
GUACAAAGGUAGCAUAAUCAUUAGUUUUUUAAUUGAGAACUUGUAUGAAUGGUUGAAUGAGAAAUGAACUUUUUUAAUAAAAAAAUUGAAUUUUMCAUUUUAAUUAAAAGGUUGAAAUGUAUUUAAAAGACGAGAAGACCCUAUAGAGUUUUAUAAUUUAUAUUUAAUAUUAAAAAAAAUUAAUAGAUAUUUUUAUUUAAAUAAUUAUUUUGUUGGGGUGAUGAUAAAAUUUAACUAACUUUUAUUUUUUUUUACAUUAAUAUAUGGGAAAUUGAUCCACUAUUAGUGAUUAAAAGAUUAAAUUACCUUAGGGAUAACAGCGUAAUUUUUUUUUUAAGUUCAUAUUAAUAAAAAAUUUUGCGACCUCGAUGUUGGAUUAAGAU